AUUGAACGCUGGCGGCAUGCCUUACACAUGCAAGUCGAACGGCAGCACGGGAGCAAUCCUGGUGGCGAGUGGCGAACGGGUGAGUAAUGUAUCGGAACGUACCUUUCAGUGGGGGAUAACGUAGCGAAAGUUACGCUAAUACCGCAUAUUCUGUGAGCAGGAAAGCAGGGGAUCGCAAGACCUUGCGCUGAUUGAGCGGCCGAUAUCAGAUUAGCUAGUUGGUGAGGUAAAGGCUCACCAAGGCGACGAUCUGUAGCGGGUCUGAGAGGAUGAUCCGCCACACUGGAACUGAGACACGGUCCAGACUCCUACGGGAGGCAGCAGUGGGGAAUUUUGGACAAUGGGCGCAAGCCUGAUCCAGCCAUGCCGCGUGAGUGAAGAAGGCCUCGGUUG
rnacentral:rRNA from 1 species